CUCAAAAAAAAAAAAAAACAACCACAAUAAAAAGAUAUAAAUAUUAGCAUAGUACAUUACUUGGCUCAGGACUGAAUAAAACUGCUAUUAUCCUUUGUUAUGUAAUAAAUCACUAAAACCUAAUAUGAACAAAUACUAUAAGUAAAAAUAUUGAAAACAAUGGAAUAAAUGAGUGUAUUGUGGUGGGAUAAAAUAAUAGAACCAAAUGCUCCAAAUUAGGAACUAAAUAAUAGAUCUCUAUCUUUUCUCUCUCUCUCCCUCUCUCUUUCCCUUUCACCUGCCAUGUGUUGAUGCAGCAAGAAUGCCCUCCUAAGAUGCCAGAACCUUGAUAUUGAACUUUCCAGCCUCCAGAACUGGGUGACAAUACAUUCCUAUUCAUUAUAAAUUACCCAGUCUUGGAUACUCUGCUAUAGCAGCACGAAACAGACUAAAGGAGUAUACACAAUAAAAGUCUCACAAAACUUCAAAUAACACAAAGAGGCAAGACAACUGAGUCAACCCAAAACAUGCAUCAAGGUCAUGAAAAGCAGGAAAGACUGAGAAACCGUCACAAAUCAGAGGCGUUUAAGAAGAUAUGUCAAUUAAGUGUAGUAUCCUGGCUUGUAGCCUGAAAAAUAAAGAGGACAUAAGUGAAAACACUGGUGAAAUCAGAACAAAAUCUGCAGUUCACUUUUUACAACUUGUAUAUCCUUCUAGAUAUUUUCAACUGAUUCAUAAUAGUUUAUAGCAUGCUUUUUGUUAAUAUUAUAUGAACAUAUUUCUAUGUCAUUAUCAUCUCCAUAAUUUUAAUACUUGAGUAGAUUUGCAUUUUCUGUAUAUGCAUUAUAUAUAUAAGAAUUAAUUUAGACAAUCAUUACUAUGAGAAAUGUUGUAUUUUUCAGUAAUAUAAAUAAUACUGUAAUGAAGUAUUAUCACACGUUUUAGUCCAAGAAUGAAAUAUGAUAGCAAAAUAUUAUUGCAUAUUGUAAACAUUUCUUUGGGAUACAUUUCUUUAAGGAGGAUUUUUGAGCCUAAGAUUAGGCACAUUUCUAAAGCUUUGGUCAAAUUGCCAUUCAGAACAUUUUGAAGGUGUCCAUUUUCCUUCCCCCACAAAAAAUAGGUAGCAUUUUGAUUUAUGUCUUUAUGAAAGCAGUAUUUCCAAAAUAUUUUUCUGUGAUUAUUGAGAUAAUAAAUACUUUUUCGUGAUGCCCAUGACUUCUCUAAAACUUCGUUUUUAUUGUCUAUAUUUAAGGUGUACCGUAUGGUGUUUUGAUAUAC
rnacentral:lncRNA from 10 species